ensembl:lncRNA novel transcript
GCUGCUUCCUGUUGUCAGUGGCCGAGAGACCGCAUCGUCGGCUCGGAGGCUGAGGGGCUGCCGCAGCCGGGAGCCCCCCUCGCCUCGCUCCUCGCUCCGCUUGGUGUCAUGUGAUUCUCUGAGGGAGCAGCUGCGUGAGUGGAGAUGCUUUCAGUGGUGGAGAAUGGACUGGACCCCCAGGCUGCCAUCCCGGUCAUCAAGAAGAAGCUGGUGGGAUCCGUGAAAGCCUUGCAAAAGCAGUACGUGUCCCUGGACAUGGUGGUCACUAGUGAAGACGGAGAUGCCAACACCAUGUGCAGCGCCCUGGAGGCCGUAUUUAUCCAUGGCCUGCACACCAAGCACAUCCGAGCUGAGGCCGGAGGAAAAAGGAAGAAAAGUGCCCACCAGAAGCCUCUGCCCCAGCCUGUCUUCUGGCCCCUCCUGAAAGCUGUCACCCCCAAACACAUCAUCUCAGAGUUGGAGCACCUGACGUUUGUCAACAUGGAUGUGGGCCGCUGCCGGGCAUGGCUGCGGCUGGCCCUGAACAAUGGCCUGAUGGAGUGCUACCUGAAGCUGCUGCUGCAGGAGCAGGCCCGCUUGCAACUACAGCGGAAGGAAUCUCUGGAUUCCAUUUCCCAUUCUUCAGGCUCUGAAGACAUCGAAGUCCAUCACUCGGGCCAUAAGAUACGGAGGAACCAGAAGCCGACUGCCUCCUCCCUCAGCCUGGACACGGCCAGUUCAUCCCAGCUGUCCUGCAGCCUAAACUCUGAUAGCUGCUUACUCCAAGAGAAUGGCUCCAAGAGUCCAGACCAUUGCGAGGAGCCCAUGUCCUAUGACUCAGACCUGGGCACAGCAAAUGCUGAGGACUCAGACCAGUCUCUGCAAGAUGUGGGUCAGAGUCUUCGAAUUUGCUAUCCUGAAGAUGCUUCAGUACAUCCUGAAGAUUUACUUCCUGAAAAUGAAUGCUCUAGGACCCUGAAGGUUGUGACUGUGCACCUGCCAACUCAAGCUGAAGGCUGAAGAGGAAAGCUCUGCAGCCCCUUCCUCAAGCUGGAGGCAGAGUGACGUCUGCUGGGGAUGCAGGCUGUGCGCCCCACAGGACUCCAGAGUGGCACUAAGCAUGUUGAGUUCACUCCUGCCCAUGGUCUAGCUUCUGCUUUGCAGGCUCAGGCAUCUUAUCUUGCCAGGGCCUCAAAGCUGGUGGGACAGAAUAGCAUCUUUGCUCACUAAGCUCUGACCCACCGGCCUCCUUGCAGCUCUGUAGUCCAAGCGAACUCCUUCCAACAUCAGGCUUCUUUGAAAAAAAAAUUUUUUUUUGAGGCAGAGUCUCACUCUGUCACCCAGGCUGAAGUACAGUGGUGCAAUCUCAGCUCACUGAAACCUCCGCCUCCUAAGUUCAACUUAUUCUUAUGCCUCAGCCUCCCAAGUAGCUGGGAUUACAGAUGCCUACCACCAUGCCCAGCUAAUUUUUGUAUUUUUACAAAAUUAUGGGGUUUCACCAUGUUGACCAGGCUGGUCUCAAACUCCUGGCCUCAAGUGAUCUGCCCACUUUGGCCUCCCAAAGUGCUGGGAUUACAGGCAUGAGCCACCGUGCCCGGCCCAGCUUCAGGGUUUUACAUUUGCUGUUCCUUCUUUCCCGACUCACUUCAUUGUUGUCUCAGCCUUCCCUGACCGGACCCCCGUAGCUCAAAAGCACCAUCCCCAGUGACUCUCUGUCCCAUUCAUCUGCUUGACUUCGCUUAUAACACUCAUCACUAUGUGCAAUUACAGUAUAUUAUCUCUUUGU